UCCCCCACCGAGUGAUCAAUACCCUUAUAUAUAUAACCAUAUAGGUCGCAGCUUUCAUUUUUGAGACUUUAAUUUCUUCGUGAAUAUUAUACAUGUACGUAUAGUUUUUUUCUGCAUAUAUAUAUAUAUAUAUGUAAAUUAUAGUUGUGGGUAUAGAUUUUCUGUUUGGGAGAGAGGAAAAUUUUGGAACGAGAAUGUUGGUGAAGAUUGUGGAGGGGAUGUAUCUGUUUGUUUCGACCAUUUGGGAUCUGCAAGAAAUGAGGUUUGCAGCCAUUUUUGAUGACGUGAGUUCUAUCGUAUUCGCCAUUUUCAUCACUGCUCUUUCUUGCAUUCGUUCCUUAAGGCCGAGACGGUGACGUUUUCUUUUUCUCUAUGUUUCCUCGUCCGAGUUAUUCUUGUUUUUAUAUUAUAUUCUUUUUGGGGAUCAUUAAUUUAGUUCUGUAAUUUUUCCUUAAUCAUUGAUUAAUUUAUAUGCCAUUUAAUUAAAGUUAUCAGAGAAAGCAAAACAUAUCUAUAUAUAUAUAUAUAUGUAUAUAAAAAGAAAAAUGAUCAAGAAAAUUGCUGUAUGUGCAAACGCUGUCUGUGCUUAAUAUCCAUACGACGACGUUUUACGGAGAUGAUCAAGAGGCAAGUCUGUAGGUUGUACUUCAGGAAUAUUUCAUUAACCUCUUUCAAUAAUCUAGUGCAACAUCAAAAUGAUGGAGAGGAUAUUAAUAUAUAUCUAUAUGUUUCCAAUCUGAAUAUUGACGGAUUGUCUAGGAAUCUGCUUGGUGACCCUCAAAUCAAAAGCACUAGAAAUAUUGGUCAAUGGAUGUUUCACAGUCACCUUAUAAUCUCCAUGAAAGAGAUUAAUCUCACAGAACCCUUGAUUAUCAGCCAGUGCUGUUUGAUUUUCAGUCCUCCACUCUUUGAUCAGCUGGUCAACUACAUCCCCAGUUGGUGUGUUCAUGAAAUUUUCAUCUGCUAAUGUCAUGUUACUAAACCCAGCUACUAUUGGUCCUCCAAAUAUGAUUAUCCCUUCUACUGCAGGAUGUGAGUAUGCUUCUCUCAAUAUCUCUUCUAGAUAUUCUGCCUGUAAAAACAAACAAACAAGAAUCAGUAAUGGGUUUAUAUCCGAACCCGAGUUAUCAACUUUCAUAAGAGUGUCAUCUCAUGUGAAUCAAAUGCAAUUAGCAUGUCGAGCUCCAAACUUCUUCGACUUUUGAGUUUGAGUUACUUGGUGAGCAAGUAAGAUAUUAGAGUGUGAGAGUAUAAGACCUGAUUUGGGUUUUUCUCAACAUCCACUUCUGUAAGCCAUAUAGGAACUCCUGUGGUGCCCAGAAUGUCUAAAGCAGUCCUUAUGUAGGGAAUGUUUGGUUGUUCAUCAUUGAAAUGGCCCUGCAAUCCUAUUCCUGCUAACAUGCCUUUAACUUCUGGAUAUGACAGAAGUUGCUGGAUCUUCUCCUUGUAUUUGAUAGGAGUUGAAGAAGCGUCCUUACCCAACUCGAUCGUAUUAUACUCGUUCAUAAACAUGGAGGUAUAUGAAUCAAGACCGUAAGCCAACGAGUAAAAAAUUGCAGAAGCAUUUUCGCCAAGUUUGUCUUCGUAGAAUCUGAAAUGCAAAUUCUCAUUCAUCACAUCCCAGCAGAUUAAUUGUCCUUUAUAUCUUGAAACAACAGAGUUUGUUCUUCUAAUUGCUGCCACAAGAAGUUCAUCAGAAGGAAGGUUUUUGACCCAACUAGGCUGCAUUUUGGGAUUGUCCCACAGUAUGUUGUGACCUCUCACAAAUAUGUCAUUUUCUCUACAGAAACUCAUCAUGGCAUCAGGGAUUGUGUAGUUCUCUUCCCCCGGUUUUUUCUCAGUGCUAUACCAUUUCAUUUCGUUCGUGAAAGAGGAGAAUCUAAAUCUUGACGAAAACCAGUCUCGAUAGUCUUGGCUUGUGAGGAUAUGAUAGUUCAUCCCACACCCGAACGGGAAAUCUGACUUCACUUGGUUGAUUGAGAUUUCAGCACCUUCUACUAUCGUUCCAUUCACAGUACUUACACGAAAUCUUACUUUGCUCUUCCGA
rnacentral:lncRNA from 1 species